UACGGGGGGGGGCAAGCGUUGUUCGGAAUUACUGGGCGUAAAGGGCGCGUAGGCGGUUCGGUAAGUCCUGUGUGAAAUCCCUCGGCUCAACUGAGGAACUGCACGGGAGACUGCCGGGCUUGAGUUCGGGGAGAGGGAAGCGGAAUUCCGGGUGUAGCGGUGAAAUGCGUAGAUAUCCGGAGGAACACCGGUGGCGAAGGCGGCUUCCUGGACCGACACUGACGCUAGGCGCGAAAACUAGGGGGAGCAAAACGGGAUUAGAAAACCCCUGGG
rnacentral:rRNA from 1 species